AUGACUACUGGCAGGAUCAACCAGGUAGCAUUCCUCACCGACGUCGAUCUCCGCACGAGCCGAGCCAAGAGGCACCGCCAUGACGGGAACGAACGUCGUCCGCAUGAAGCGUCGAACGCUCUUUGAUUUUGGGGUAAAUAGAGAUCGAUGACCUCAUACCGCAUCGUUGUUCCGCAUCUGAGAGAACGAGCACCACGACAUGGGCCGACCGAGUACGGGCGCUGACUACGCGCGUAUCGUGGAUCACAUCGGGUGCUUCGGUGUCCACCCCGCACCGCAUCCCCAAAGGGCGCAGCAGAAGGAGGAGAGGAACAUCGGGACAACAACAUGCCUUCUCGAUAGGUAUACAACACAGGAAACCCACGUCGAUCAAGGCAAUCCGCAACUUGAUCCAACAAUUGAAGAGACGUGCACGAGAUGCCGUCGCUGCCCGAGC
rnacentral:misc_RNA from 2 species